ACGUACACUCCUACGGGAGGCAGCAGUGGGGAAUAUUGGACAAUGGGCGCAAGCCUGAUCCAGCCAUGCCGCGUGAGUGAUGAAGGCCCUAGGGUUUUAAAGCUCUUUCACCGGUGAAGAUAAUGACGGUAACCGGAGAAGAAGCCCCGGCUAACUUAGUGCCAGCAGCCGCGGUAAUACGAAGGGGGCUAGCGUUGUUCGGAUUUACUGGGCGUAAAGCGCACGUAGGCGGACUAUUAAGUCAGGGGUGAAAUCCCGGGGCUCAACCCCGGAACUGCCUUUGAUACUGGUAGUCUUGAGUUCGAGAGAGGUGAGUGGAAUUCCGAGUGUAGAGGUGAAAUUCGUAGAUAUUCGGAGGAACACCAGUGGCGAAGGCGGCUCACUGGCUCGAUACUGACGCUGAGGUGCGAAAGCGUGGGGAGCAAACAGGAUUAGAAACCCGGGUAGUCCCA
rnacentral:rRNA from 1 species